AACGAACGCUGGCGGCAGGCUUAACACAUGCAAGUCGAACGCACCACAAGGUGAGUGGCAGACGGGUGAGUAACGCGUGGGAACCUACCCCUUGGUACGGGAUAGCUCCGGGAAACUGGAGAUAAUACCGUAUGUGACCUGAGGGUCAAAGAUUCAUCGGCAAGGGAUGGGCCCGCGUCGGAUUAGCUAGUUGGUGGGGUAACGGCCUACCAAGGCGACGAUCCGUAGCUGGUCUAAGAGGAUGAUCAGCCACAUUGGGACUGAGACACGGCCCAAACUCCUACGGGAGGCAGCAGUGGGGAAUAUUGGACAAUGGGCGCAAGCCUGAUCCAGCCAUGCCGCGUAAGUGAUGAAGGCCCUAGGGUUGUAAAGCUCUUUCACCGGGGACGAUAAUGACGGUACCCGGAGAAGAAGCCCCGGCUAACUUCGUGCCAGCCGCCGCCGUAA
rnacentral:rRNA from 1 species